rnacentral:misc_RNA from 1 species
UCUCCGAUGGUGAACCAGCGGAGGGAUCAUUACAGGACUCGCAAGACUCCUACAACCCUGUGAACUUAACUAUAAGCACGUUGCUUCGGCGGGUGUCUCGGAGGGGGUUCUCCCUCCCCGAGACGCUAAACCCGCCGGCAGCCUACUAUACUCUGUCUCUUUGCGUUGGCAUCUCGAGUACAAUCAAACAAGUUAAAACUUUCAACAACGGAUCUCUUGGUUCUG